GGCAGUUGCUGGCCUAGACUCACUUCUUCAGGAGGGAGGUUCGCCCUGGAAAGCUGAUCUGCAUUUCUGCUGAGAUCGAUGCCGUGGAGACUGAAUACAUUGAGUUCUCCAGUUGAAAGAAAAAAGCGCAACCUGGCUUCUGAAUUCCAAGAACACACUACACAGUGGGUCUAAAUCAACCUCUGGUAAUGAAGGGCCUGGAGCCAGAUAUGAGCUUCUUGGAGCUUUUGGCAGUUUCUGGUGGAGGUCAGCUAUCCUUGUCAUCUACCUUGGCCCCUCUGUAGGGGAUGAGCUCAGGGCUACACUUUUCCUUCCAGGUUCUCAUGGUGUGGUCCGGGCUCCAUUUCUUUCUCUUUGAACCUCACUUCAACAUGAUUAGAGUGACCGAAGGUAAAGAAAUAGGAACUGUUUUACUGUAAAUAAGUUAGUCCCUGCUA